rnacentral:rRNA from 1 species
GAUGCAACGCGAAGAACCUUACCUACUCUUGACAUCCAGAGAAGCCAGNGGAGACNCAGGUGUGCCUUCGGGAGCUCUGAGACAGGUGCUGCAUGGCUGUCGUCAGCUCGUGUUGUGAAAUGUUGGGUUAAGUCCCGCAACGAGCGCAACCCUUAUCCUUGUUUGCCAGCGAGUAAUGUCGGGAACUCCAGGGAGACUGCCGGUGAUAAACCGGAGGAAGGUGGGGACGACGUCAAGUCAUCAUGGCCCUUACGAGUAGGGCUACACACGUGCUACAAUGGCGCAUACAGAGGGCAGCAAGCUAGCGAUAGUGAGCGAAUCCCAAAAAGUGCGUCGUAGUCCGGAUUGGAGUCUGCAACUCGACUCCAUGAAGUCGGAAUCGCUAGUAAUCGUGAAUCAGAAUGUCACGGUGAAUACGUUCCCGGGCCUUGUACACACCGCCCGUCAUCAGNCAUGGGAGUGGGCUGCAAAAGAAGUGGGU